GUCUCUUAGAAAUUAUUAAGAGUCAGGCCUGCCCAGUGAUUGCUUUAUUUAACGGCCGCGGUACCCUGACCGUGCAAAGGUAGCAUAAUCAUUUGCCUUUUAAUUGGAGGCUGGUAUGAAUGGUUCGACGAGAGUAAAGCUGUCUCAUACACAUUAACUAGAAACUAAUUUAAAGGUGCAAAAGCCUUUAUAAAACAAAAAGACGAGAAGACCCUAUUGAGCUUUAAUUUUAAUGUGCACUAACUUUAUAUUUAUAUAAUUAUUUGCUCAAUAAAAAUUUUAAUUGGGGCGAUUAAGGAACACAAUGAAGCUUCCUGAUUUUAAUAUUAAAUGUUUAUAGAUUAAAUCGAUCCAGCAAUGCUGAUCAACAAAAUGAGUUACCAUAGGGAUAACAGCAUAAUUCUUUUUCAGAGCUCAUAUCGAAAAAAGAGAUUGUGACCUCGAUGUUGGACUAGGGUAACGGGAAGGUGUAGCAGCUUUCUUGCUUGGUCUGUUCGACCAAUAAUUCCCUACA
rnacentral:rRNA from 1 species